rnacentral:rRNA from 1 species
GUGCCAGCAGCCGCGGUAAUACGUAGGUCCCGAGCGUUGUCCGGAUUUAUUGGGCGUAAAGCGAGCGCAGGCGGUUAGAUAAGUCUGAAGUUAAAGGCUGUGGCUUAACCAUAGUAGGCUUUGGAAACUGUUUAACUUGAGUGCAAGAGGGGAGAGUGGAAUUCCAUGUGUAGCGGUGAAAUGCGUAGAUAUAUGGAGGAACACCGGUGGCGAAAGCGGCUCUCUGGCUUGUAACUGACGCUGAGGCUCGAAAGCGUGGGGAGCAGACAGGAUUAGAUACCCUGGUAGUCCACGCUGUAAACGAUGAGUGCUAGGUGUUAGACCCUUUCCGGGGUUUAGUGCCGUAGCUAACGCAUUAAGCACUCCGCCUGGGGAGUACGACCGCAAGGUUGAAACUCAAAGGAAUUGACGGGGGCCCGCACAAGCGGUGGAGCAUGUGGUUUAAUUCGAAGCAACGCGAAGAACCUUACCAGGUCUUGACAUCCCUCUGACCGCUCUAGAGAUAGAGUUUUCCUUCGGGACAGAGGUGACAGGUGGUGCAUGG